GGCGAACGGGUGAGUAACAUAUCGGAACGUACCGAGUAAUGGGGGAUAACUAAUCGAAAGAUUAGCUAAUACCGCAUAUUCUCUGAGGAGGAAAGCAGGGGACCUUCGGGCCUUGCGUUAUUCGAGCGGCCGAUAUCUGAUUAGCUAGUUGGUGGGGUAAAGGCCUACCAAGGCGACGAUCAGUAGCGGGUCUGAGAGGAUGAUCCGCCACACUGGGACUGAGACACGGCCCAGACUCCUACGGGAGGCAGCAGUGGGGAAUUUUGGACAAUGGGCGCAAGCCUGAUCCAGCCAUGCCGCGUGUCUGAAGAAGGCCUUCGGGUUGUAAAGGACUUUUGUCAGGGAAGAAAAGGCUGUUGCUAAUACCAACAGCUGAUGACGGUACCUGAAGAAUAAGCACCGGCUAACUACGUGCCAGCAGCCGCGGUAAUACGUAGGGUGCGAGCGUUAAUCGGAAUUACUGGGCGUAAAGCGAGCGCAGACGGUUACUUAAGCAGGAUGUGAAAUCCCCGGGCUCAACCUGGGAACUGCGUUCUGAACUGGGUGACUAGAGUGUGUCAGAGGGAGGUAGAAUUCCACGUGUAGCACUGAAAUGCGUAGAGAUGUGGAGGAAUACCGAUGGCGAAGGCAGCCUCCUGGGAUAACA
rnacentral:rRNA from 1 species